AUCUAUGGCCAUACCACCCUGAACAUGCCCGAUCUCGUCUAAUCUUGGAAGCUAAGAGGGGUUGGGACUGGUUAGUACUUGGAUGGGAGAUUGACCAUGUCAGAUCUAAUUACAUUGUCAUUGAUU
rfam:Macaca mulatta chromosome 1, whole genome shotgun sequence.